rnacentral:lncRNA from 1 species
CUUAAACUGUUCCUUAACUAUCAAUCUCAUUGCAACAGAUUUCUGUUUCCAAAGGAAGCAUCAUAGCAGGGCCCCGCCUGAUGUCACUUCAACUCCGAGUGCCAACAUGAAAACACGCAAAAGCCUGUUUUCCAACUUGUAGAUCAGAAAACAGGCCUGAUACUGGGAGACAUGUUUUCAUAUCAAGUACGCAGCAUUCUGACAAAGCUCCUCCGUCCCCACCUUUCUCAGUUGUAAGAAAACCCAAGAUGUGUUGAGCUCGCUAGAAUCAAAGUUGACUUUGGCAAUAGUACUCCUUCAUUUGAUCCAAAUUUACAAGUGGAGAAGUUACAGCACUCCAUUUUUGUUCACGUAUCUACUUCUCUACCAUGUGACUGAGAGAAAGCUGAUCUGGACACUGGAACCUGCUUCAUCUGAGCCAGUAAAUGUGCAACAUUGUCCGGGUGACAUUAUGCAUUCAGAGCUGUACAUGAGGAACUAAGUCUGCCCAAUUAUAGUCCAUGAUUGAAGGAGAGGUUUCUUUAGCUCUUCCACAAGAUCUAACAAAAGACAAUGAUUCACUUGAUAUGUCAACAAACUGGGGGCAUUGAGGACCCAAAUCAAGGAGAAGCUGACAGAUCAAAGGAUAACAGAUUUUAAAAACUUGAAUUCUUGAUGACAGUACUGAGCUACUGAAAAAAAAAAAAUCAGCCUGGGAACCUUACUGACUUCUAAAUUGCUUCUUAUGUGGGAUGAAAAAUAUCUGAAGAUCCACUGUUGAUGUGAAUGAUUUUUAUAUGAUUACUCUUCAAAAUGUGAUUAUUAUUUGUAUAUUUGCACUGUAAGAAUAUAUCUUAAAUUUUUACUUUAUUUAGCCACGGUCACUAUAUCUUUGAGCAUUGAACAUAUUUAAGCAACAAUAUUUCAACACUUCUUUCAAGUGGAUUUUUGAAGUUACUGGGUCCAGAGGAGUUUUACGUGUCCCGAAUAAAAUGCUAAUUUGUAUAUCUAUAAGUAUGUAUUUUUAUAUUUUUCCUUUUCAAAAUUAA